rnacentral:rRNA from 1 species
AGCCAGACUCCUACGGGAGGCAGCAGUGGGGAAUAUUGCACAAUGGGGGAAACCCUGAUGCAGCAACGCCGCGUGAGUGAAGAAGUCAUUCGUGAUGUAAAGCUCUAUCAGCAGGGAAGAAAAUGACGGUACCUGAGUAAGAAGCCCCGGCUAACUACGUGCCAGCAGCCGCGGUAAUACGUAGGGGGCAAGCGUUAUCCGGAUUUACUGGGUGUAAAGGGAGCGUAGACGGCCAGACAAGUCUGAAGUGAAAAUCCAGCGCUUAACGUUGGAAGUGCUUUGGAAACUGCCGGGCUAGAGUGCAGGAGAGGCAAUCGGAAUUCCGUGUGUAGCGGUGAAAUGCGUAGAUAUACGGAGGAACACCAGUGGCGAAGGCGGAUUGCUGGACAGUAACUGACGCUGAGGCGCGAAAGCGUGGGGAGCAAACAGGAUUAGAUACCCCAGUA